rnacentral:tRNA from 1 species
GAGUGGUUAGUUCAGUUGGUUCAGAGCAUCCCGAUUUUAUAUCGGGAGUGUUCGGGGGUUCGACUCCCUCACCGCCCA